rnacentral:rRNA from 1 species
ACGUACACUCCUGCGGGAGGCAGCAGUGGGGAAUAUUGCACAAUGGGCGCAAGCCUGAUGCAGCGACGCCGCGUGGGGGAUGAAGGCCUUCGGGUUGUAAACUCCUUUCGCUAGGGACGAAGCUUUUUUGUGACGGUACCUAGAUAAGAAGCACCGGCUAACUACGUGCCAGCAGCCGCGGUAAUACGUAGGGUGCGAGCGUUGUCCGGAAUUACUGGGCGUAAAGGGCUCGUAGGUGGUUUGUCGCGUCGUCUGUGAAAUUCUGGGGCUUAACUCCGGGCGUGCAGGCGAUACGGGCAUAACUUGAGUGCUGUAGGGGUAACUGGAAUUCCUGGUGUAGCGGUGAAAUGCGCAGAUAUCAGGAGGAACACCGAUGGCGAAGGCAGGUUACUGGGCAGUUACUGACGCUGAGGAGCGAAAGCAUGGGUAGCGAACAGGAUUAGAAACCCGGGUAGUCCCAUGG